rnacentral:rRNA from 1 species
AGCGAACGCUGGCGGCAGGCUUAACACAUGCAAGUCGAGCGCCCCGCAAGGGGAGCGGCAGACGGGUGAGGAACGCGUGGGAAUCUACCCAUCUCUACGGAAUAACGCAUGGAAACGUGUGCUAAUACCGUAUACGUCCUUCGGGAGAAAGAUUUAUCGGAGAUGGAUGAGCCCGCGUUGGAUUAGCUAGUUGGUGGGGUAAAGGCCUACCAAGGCGACGAUCCAUAGCUGGUCUGAGAGGAUGAUCAGCCACACUGGGACUGAGACACGGCCCAGACUCCUACGGGAGGCAGCAGUGGGGAAUAUUGGACAAUGGGCGCAAGCCUGAUCCAGCCAUGCCGCGUGAGUGAUGAAGGCCCUAGGGUUAUAAAGCUCUUUCACCGGUGAAGAUAAUGACGGUAACCGGAGAAGAAGCCCCGGCUAACUUCGUGCCAGCCGCCGCAGUAAAAC